rnacentral:rRNA from 1 species
AUCGGUGUAAACAAUGCUUCCAUUUUUACUUUAUUGAUACUUUUGGAGAACCAUAGGUUUUUUUAAAUAGAGGUAAAAUUUUAUAAUUUAAAAAGGCGUUUCUUUUUUUAAUAUAAUGGUUUUCUAUUAGCAUUGAAUGCUAGCAUGAAAGUAUGGGGGAAAAAAAGGCUUUGUUACCCUUGUCUGCCAUUCCGCAAAUAAAUGGGGUUUUUUUUUUGAAAAUGUUAACUUUUACCCUGGACCGGGGGAAAACAGCCUCAAGGAUUAAAAUAAAAAAAAUUGGAGGGACUUUUUAAGCUGUGGGACAUGUGGUUUAAUGCGGUAAUCCUCGCUAAACCUCGCUAGUGUGUUUUUGUUUUAAAAUCAAGAUUUUGAUUUUUUUUUUUAAAAGGUAGAAUUGCAGGGCUGCCGUCAGUUAGUUCCGAAAUGAUCAACAUUUAUUUGCAAUACAAACACAAACUUAAACAAAAAAAAUUUAAGCAAAAGACAAGUCUGUAUGGUCUGUUUAUGCUAGGCUACACACGUGUUACUUUGAAAAAAAACAGAUAUUUUAGUAAAAGUAAUUUUAUUGAUAUAAUUAUUUUUUUUUUAUAGAUUGUGAUUUGCAAUUCCAAUCACAUGAAAAAGAAAUAGCCAGUGAAACGUAUUUUAG